GAUGAACGCUGGCGGCGUGCCUAAUACAUGCAAGUCGAGCGAACAGACGAGGAGCUUGCUCCUCUGACGUUAGCGGCGGACGGGUGAGUAACACGUGGAUAACCUACCUAUACGACUGGGAUAACUUCGGGAAACCGGAGCUAAUACCGGAUAAUAUAUUGAACCUCAUUGUUCAAUAGUGAAAGACGGUUUUGCUGUCACUUAUAGAUUGAUCCGCGCCGCAUUAGUUAGUUGGUAAGGUAACGGCUUACCAAGGCAACGAUGGGUAGCCGACCUAGGGGGGGGAUCGCCAGCCGGGAAACGAGGAAGCGUCCCAACUCCCGAGGGGAGGCACAGGCGGGAAUCCUACGGAAAGGGGCAAAGGCUUAUGGUGGAAACGCGGCGGAAGGAUGAAGGAGCUCGGAUGGGUAAAAGCUGGUGUUAGGGGAGAAACAAAGCUGUAUUAACCGAGAUGAUUUUGACGGUACCGGAAGAAGAAGCCCCGGCUAACUACGUG
rnacentral:rRNA from 1 species